rnacentral:tRNA from 1 species
ACCUAAAUAGCUCAGUUGGGAGAGAGCUGUAUUAUAGAUCUAAAGGUCCCUGGUUCGAUUCCGCCAUUUGGCAA